CAUUGGUUCACUGAAGUUAAGCAACAUUGAGCUGGGUCAGUACUUAGAUGGGUGACCACUUAAGAAUACUAGGUGCUGUAAG